rnacentral:lncRNA from 1 species
UCCAACACCUGAAGGCUGGACUUCUGGGCCUUGUGAUCAGACAGCUGGGAUUAUGAGUCUCAUCGAGAAACUCUAUGGCCAUCAUCCUUCAGUGGACUGGAGCCUACAGAAAGUGUCCAAAAGGCAUUGUUUAUGCAAGAGUCUCUGGCUGUGCAAUAAGCAGGUUCAAAUGGUCAUGUGGUUGGGCAAGAUAACUGGAUCUAAUUACUGAGAGUCCCUGACAGAAGUGUCUGAGUUGAGAAAUCCAUCUGAAGAAUUCCCAGGUGCUUAUUACAAUAUUUACAAAAAAAAACUGAGCAUGAGCGUGGGGCCUGUGAAGCUCCGAGGUGAUGAGGAUGCUCUUUCUUUCACUGUAAGGAAUGAGAAACUGGAGCUGAGAAUGAAAAUCUUCACGAGCAUUUUCUAC